rnacentral:lncRNA from 1 species
UAUUCCAAUUGACCAGAAAGAAAAUAAAUUGAAGGAAAAAGUAUCUUAAAGGGGGUGGCUUAAUGUCAACUCUAAGUGGAACAUCACUAGAAGGUAGAAAAUUCAAGCUUUCUUAAUAAGCUCUCCGGCCAGUUGAUUAUUGAAAGUUAUAAAAUAGAUACAGAUUGAAACUCUAGGGUCAAAUGAAGGGAAUGGAAUGGAAUGAAAAAUCAAAUUGCUAUACAUAUACUUUGAUUACACUAUAUCAAUUUCUGACCAAAGAACUGCAUACAUACCAUUUGAUUUAUGUACAUAAAAUUCUAGAAAUUGCAAACUGAUCUGUUUUCUUUAGCAACCUAACAUUUUAGAGCAUUGGGAAAAUCUAUGAAGUAACUUAUGAAAUCUAUGAAAUAACAUUAGUGUACUUAAAUGGUGGAGGGAAAGGAAAUGACAGAGAAAUAAAUCGAAGUUACAAACAAAACAAAAUUAAAAAGUUUGAGUCUCCCAUUAAGCCCCCCCCCUUUAAAUCCGCCCCCCCCCUGCUUUAUGUACAGGUUGCCCAACCUCCUUGUUGCCAGAAGAUAAGUAAACUAAUCUACAGCAACAGAAAGCAGACCAGUAGUAACCAGGAGAGAGGUGAGCAGAGGGGGAAUUAUAGAGAGGCUGAGGAAAUUCUUGGAGAUUUCAUCAGCUUUAUUUGAUCCUUUCCAAUCUGAGUUGUUUUAUCUUACCUU